ACGGAAGGCAGCAGUGGGGAAUAUUGCACAAUGGGGGAAACCCUGAUGCAGCGACGCCGCGUGAAGGAAGAAGUAUCUCGGUAUGUAGACUUCUAUCAGCAGGGAAGAUAGUGACGGUACCUGACUAAGAAGCCCCGGCUAACUACGUGCCAGCAGCCGCGGUAAUACGUAGGGGGCAAGCGUUAUCCGGAUUUACUGGGUGUAAAGGGAGCGUAGACGGUGUGGCAAGUCUGAUGUGAAAGGCAUGGGCUCAACCUGUGGACUGCAUUGGAAACUGUCAUACUUGAGUGCCGGAGGGGUAAGCGGAAUUCCUAGUGUAGCGGUGAAAUGCGUAGAUAUUAGGAGGAACACCAGUGGCGAAGGCGGCUUACUGGACGGUAACUGACGUUGAGGCUCGAAAGCGUGGGGAGCAAACAGGAUUAGAUACCCUGGUA
rnacentral:rRNA from 1 species